rnacentral:rRNA from 1 species
GACGAACGCUGGCGGCGUGCUUAACACAUGCAAGUCGAACGGAAAGGCCCUGCUUUUGUGGGGUGCUCGAGUGGCGAACGGGUGAGUAACACGUGAGUAACCUGCCCUUGACUUUGGGAUAACUUCAGGAAACUGGGGCUAAUACCGGAUAGGAGCUCCCGCUGCAUGGUGGGGGUUGGAAAGUUUCGGCGGUUGGGGAUGGACUCGCGGCUUAUCAGCUUGUUGGUGGGGUAGUGGCUUACCAAGGCCUUGACGGGUAGCCGGCCUGAGAGGGUGACCGGCCACAUUGGGACUGAGAUACGGCACAGACUCCUACGGGAGGCAGCGGUGGGGAAUAUUGCACAAUGGGCGGAAGCCUGAUGCAGCAACGCCGCGUGCGGGAUGACGGCCUUCGGGUUGUAAACCGCUUUCGCCUGUGACGAAGCGUGAGUGACGGUAAUGGGUAAAGAAGCACCGGCUAACUACGUG